GGGAGACAUAAAGACAAUGUGAACUACCUGUGCUAGGAAUAAUUUCUGAUCAGGAACUUGGGCUUUCAUCUACCCUUUUCAAAGAGUAUUAUAUGAAAAAGGAAAAAGAAAAUCUAUUUCUUGAAUCUGAAAGAACGAUUUCAGCUUCUGGACUGCAUUUCUUGCUAUGACCAGCAGAGAUGAAAAAUAUCAAAAUACAAUUAAUAAGAACACCAUGUAUCAUGAGCAGAAAACCUGCGGAAAGAACAAAAGAACUGUCAAAUAUUCCAGAAUUGUAUGUAUAACAGAUGAAGAAUUGAAUUGAGCAAGAUAAUGUAAGGCGACAAGAAUUGCUCUUUUCUCCCUGCUCUUUAUUUUCCCUGUUCUGAACUGUCACUGAGUGAAUAAUUAGAAAAUGUUGAACUUCAUGGUAGCAAACAACAAUAAAAAGCAAUCAUUAAAGCA
ensembl:lncRNA